rnacentral:rRNA from 1 species
UACGUAGGGGGCAAGCGUUGUCCGGAAUCAUUGGGCGUAAAGCGCGUGUAGGCGGCUCGAUAAGUCUGCUGUGAAAGUCCAGGGCCCAACCCUGGGAUGCCGGUGGAUACUGUCGAGCUCGAGUCCGGAAGAGGCGAGUGGAAUUCCUGGUGUAGCGGUGAAAUGCGCAGAUAUCAGGAGGAACACCAAUGGCGAAGGCAGCUCGCUGGGACGUGACUGACGCUGAGACGCGAAAGCGUGGGGAGCAAACAGG